rnacentral:rRNA from 1 species
UACGUAGGGUGCAAGCGUUAAUCGGAAUUACUGGGCGUAAAGCGUGCGCAGGCGGUUAUGUAAGACAGAUGUGAAAUCCCCGGGCUCAACCUGGGAACUGCAUUUGUGACUGCAUAGCUAGAGUGUGUCAGAGGGGGGUAGAAUUCCACGUGUAGCAGUGAAAUGCGUAGAGAUGUGGAGGAAUACCGAUGGCGAAGGCAGCCCCCUGGGCCUGUACUGACGCUCAUGCACGAAAGCGUGGGGAGCAAACAGG